AUGUUUAUAGUGCAUUAUGUGGAAUAUCUCAUUCAAAAUGUUUAUAGUGCAUUAUGUGGAAUAUCUCAUUCAAAAUGUUUAUAGUGCAUUAUGGGGAAUAUCUCAUUCAAAAUGUUUAUAGUGCAUUAUGUGGAAUAUCUCAUUCAAAAUGUUUAUAGUGCAUUAUGGGGAAUAUCUCAUUCAAAAUGUCAGCUAGAUGUAUCUAUAUUCUUAUUUUAUUAUACAUGAUUAGCAUAUUUAACAUGGUUGCAUAUUCUCGGUAUUAUUAAUGUGAUCAUAUAUUCAAAACAAUGUUUAGCUUUUUUUUUUUUUUAACUUACAUACAUAACACAUAGCUUAUCAUAUCAACCAAUACACAUGGAUAAACAUGGGGUACAAAACCAGGCACAUUUACAACAUAACAUUGUAUACAUUCGUUCACAUUGAUCCAGUGCAAACACAAUACGACAGAGAAGCUCUUCCCUGUAGGUAUAGGUCACGUGACAGUGGUUGGGUUGUGACACCUCUGGUCGUCACAAUAUGUCAACACAAUCAAAUAUACAAUAUAUACCAGUAUAGUCAGAGAGUAGUGUCCUGUCCAGGGGGUGUACUAGUACAGUAAUAUAUACCAGUAUAGUCAGACAGACUAGUGUCCUACAGGGGGGGUGUACUAGUACAGUAAUAUAUACCAGUAUAGUCAGACAGACUAGUGUCCUGUCCAGGGGGUGUACUAGUACAGUAAUAUAUACCAGUAUAGUCAGACAGACUAGUGUCCUGUCCAGGGGGUGUACUAGUACAGUAAUAUAUACCAGUAUAGUCAGACAGACUAGUGUCCUGUCCAGGGGGUGUACUAGUACAGUAAUAUAUACCAGUAUAGUCAGACAGACUAGUGUCCUGUCCAGGGGGUGUACUAGUACAUUAAGUUGCCUCACUCUUCAGAAACAGGACACAGGCUCCUGCCCCUUGGUUCGCUCUGGCUUGGACAAGGCUUCCUUAUUUUGUCAGUAUGCUCACCGAGUAAGAUACUGCUCUAGAGAGAUACUACUCCUAUAAUCACUCUAUGGUGUGUGCUCCAAAUGGCACCCUAUUCUCUACAUAUUACACUACUUUUAACCACAGCCCUAUGGGCUCUGGUCAAUAGUAGUGCACUAUAUAGGGAAUAGGGUGCCUUACCUUUUGGGUCGCCUGCCUACAUCAGUGAUGAAUUAAUACAACCUUAGUUCUCCAGAGGGAUGAACAGUUCAUAGUUAACUAUGUGCUGAACGUAAUGAGUUGGCAGAUUACCUCAUCGUAUUAACAAGAGACCGGAAACAGAGUUGGAAACCAAUCAGGAACAUGCAUCAACACCUUUCUCCUCCAUUGCCAGCAGUAGGAUUAUGAAGAAACAAACAAAUGAAAAGAAAAUAAACAACAUAAUUCUCUACUUUUAAAUGAAAGGGAAUAUUCUAGGCUAGGGAAUAUUCUAGGCUAGGCUAGGGAAUAUUCUAGGCUAGGGAACAUUCUAGGCUAGGGAACAUUCUAGGCUAGGCUAGGGAAUAUUCUAGGCUAGGCUAGGGAACAUUCUAGGCUAGGGAAUAUUCUAGGCUAGGGAACAUUCUAGGCUAGGGAACAUACUAGGCUAGGGAACAUUCUAGGCUAGGGAACAUAAUAGGCUAGGGAACAUUCUAGACUAGGGAACAUUCUAGACUAGGGAACAUUCUAGACUAGGGAACAUUCUAGACUAGGGAACCUUCUUUCAGUUAGUUUAAGUUAUGUUCAUAUUCCAGAUGCACAACCAUCCCAUAGGUCAUGUGGAAUUAUACCGAUUGUAAAUGAUACCUACUGUAAAUGGUAAAUUGUACAUACUGUACUUUUUUAAAUUUUACCUUUAUUUUACCUUUAAUUAACUAGGCAAGUCAGUUAAGAACAAAUUCUUAUUUUCAAUGAGGGCCUAGGAACAGUGGGUUAACUGCCUGUUCAGGGGCAGAACGACAGAUUGUACUUUGUCAGCUCGGGGGUUUGAACUUGCAACCUUCCGGUUACUAGUCCAACGCUCUAACCACUAGGCUACCCUGCCGCCCCAUGAAAUGAUACCUACUGUAAAUGAUACAUACUGUAAAUGAUACAUACUGUAAAUGUAAAUGAUAUGAUACAUACUGUAAAUGAUACCUACUGUACAUGAUACAUACUAUAAAUGAUACCUACUGUAAAUGGUACAUACUGUAAAUGGUACAUACUGUAAAUGGUACAUACUGUAAAUGGUACAUACUGUAAAUGAUACAUACGGCAGGCUUACACCAUGACUUCUCUGUUAAAGACAGUUAAUUGCUCUGAUUUGCCUCCAACACCUCUGCCCCUCAUCUCCUUGUCUCUUUCUAAAGGCCUGGGUUAGAAGGUUUCCCCUGCAGGUCAACUGUUGGUUGGUGAGCGAGGUAGUAGAGAUGUUACAGGGAAACAGAAACGUUGGGAGAAUAUUCAUCAGGUAGCUAAGCGCUGUCACAUGAAGUUUUAGCUGCUGUAUGGGCACCAGCCAUACUCUGGUGAAACCCAGAGAGAUGUGUUCCAGAGGGUCAUUGGGGAUCUAACAACAUAUUAGUUUGACAGGAGGGAAGGGGAUUGAUAUAGAUUUCUGUAAUGAAAAACUUUUGAGGAAUCUACAGUGGAGCUCAAUACCACACUAUUAGAUCCACUCAACUCCCAGCAGGGAGGAGAACAGAUGGAGAGAGUUGAUGUUUCUGUACUCUAUUAUCUGGAGACAAUCUCUUUAUGAUAUGACCUUUAGGCUUAUAGGGGAGGACAGGGGUGAGAGGGUCAAGCCUGAGAGACUGGUGCGCUACUCUACAUAAUACUGUAUACAUUGCCUUACUUGCUGUGUGGGGUCAUUUGGUGCAAAAGCAAUGUGAAGAGGGGAAUAGGACUAAACAGGAAAUUCAAUAUCCCUGCUGCUGGGAGGAGUUAGAAUGUGUUCCAUCUGAUACUACUGGGAGGAGUCAGAAUGUGUUCCAUCUGAUACUACUGGGAGGAGUCAGAAUGUGUUCCAUCUGAUACUACUGGGAGGAGUCAGAAUGUGUUCCAUCUG
ensembl:lncRNA